rnacentral:rRNA from 1 species
CGCGUAGGUGGUUUGGUAAGCGAGAUAUGAAAGCCCCGGGCUUAACCUGGGAACGGCAUUUCGAACUGUCAGACUAGAGUGUGGUAGAGGGUAGUGGAAUUUCCUGUGUAGCGGUGAAAUGCGUAGAUAUAGGAAGGAACACCAGUGGCGAAGGCGGCUACCUGGACCAACACUGACACUGAGGUGCGAAAGCGUGGGGAGCAAACA